GACGAACGCUGGCGGCGUGCUUAACACAUGCAAGUCGAACGGAGUGGCGAACGGGUGAGUAACACGUGGGUGACCUGCCUUGCACUUCGGGAUAAGCCUGGGAAACUGGGUCUAAUACCGGAUAGUGCAAGAUGAGCUCGCGGCCUAUCAGCUUGUUGGUGGGGUAAUGGCCUACCAAGGCGCCGACGGGUAGCCGGCCUUGGAGGGUGUACGGCCACAUUGGGCCUGCGGUACGGCCCAGUCUCGUACGGGAGGCAGCAGUCGGGAAUAUUGCACAAUGGGCCGAAGCCUGAUGCAGCGACCCCGGGUGGGGGAUGAAGGCCUUCGGGUUGUAAACUCCUGUCGACAGGGACGCGGUACCUGUAUAAGAAGCACCGGCUAACUACGUGCCAGCAGCCGCGGUAAUAC
rnacentral:rRNA from 1 species